CCCUUCCAAGGUAUGGAACUCCGUUGCUGGUCCUGAUAAGAGUACAUAAAAGGCUCUCUGGACGGCUCGCAUAAGAGAACCUGGAUUUGUAGGGGAUCAGCACUGACCAGCAGAGGGGAGAGACAGAGGAGCCGGCAGAUUGGGGAUGGAGUAGUUCCACAUGGCUUCACUCCCAGCAGGUGCCACUGUCUUCCACGGGGCAUCGACUGGGCAUCAUUUUCUCACCUUGCCUUUGAGGCACUGAAUCUUCAAGGUCCCGGUGCUGCAUGAUGCUAUUCUGCAAAGCAGAAGCAAACUU